AGUCAACUCGAUUCAUCACUUACAGAAACAACAAUGCCGAGCAUUGAAUUGGAAUUUCAGGAGUCAAUCGUUAGUCCAGAAGAGGUUGUGGUGGUGAGUAACAAAAAUGCACUUUCUAAAGGGUGGCAAUAUAAAGGUGUAAGGAGGAGGCCGUGGGGGAAGUAUGCAGCAGAGAUUAGGGAUCCGAAGAAAAAUGGAGGUGGAAUUUGGCUUGGUACAUACGAGACACCCAAGGACGCGGCGUUAGCUUAUGAUCGAGCUGCUUCUAAGAUGCGGG
rnacentral:misc_RNA from 1 species